GAGUAGGGGCUCCCGACUCUUAGGAGGGGCUUCCAACCUUGUGGUUAUGAACCCCCAAGGGAUAUUUUAUUUCCCCUUGGAAAUAGACAAUUUAAGGUACGUCCUUUCCUUUGCAGUCUUUUGGGAAGAGCAGUGCUUCUGGGCAGUUCAUCCACUUGCCGAGGGUUAAGAACUCAGGAGCCAGCUGUUCUCGGAGAUGCCUGCCAGGGCCACCUUUCCACAGCCUUGCCGGCCGUGUUCUGCGUGGGGGACAAUGGGAUAAUUUGGAGAUUGAGAUAAAAAGAAACAGGAACCAAGGGGAGGAGAAGCACCAACUACCUGCAAGAAUAGUUCCCUGAUGCCUUGUGGAGCCCAUUCCUUCCCUCCCUGGACUUGCUCCCCGGGUUGAAGGGCUCAUACAGAGAGUGAUCCACAUCCAGCUGUGCUGGGGUGCAGGCCAGGCUCAGAGCAUUGAGGUGCCUUCAAAUACUGUCAACGGGAGCAGAUAACAUCAAGAGAUUGCUAAGGAAGGAGUUACUGAAGUGACUGCCUGACUUUACAACUUUAUUUCUCAAAAGUGCCUCUUUAGGCACCGCCCCCUCCCCAACCCCAGUCCCUGACUGUGGCCAGUAUCUGCUUCAAACCAAAAUGUAACACAAAAUUUGAAUCUCUCAGGAGACUGACUUGUUUGAACACCUUCACAGAGUCCCAACCCAUCCAUGAAAUUGCAUGGAUGUCUACAAGGGAGACUCACAAUAACAUUCCCAUACCCCCAAAUCCUUCUCUUGGAGGGGUGAAAUCAAGGAUAACUGACUGCCCACCACAUGUUUCACCCUAAUAAGAGUAUUAGUAACCCCAUACAAGACCCUGUGAGAGCAAAGAUUCUUGAUCAAGGGUCCAUAUAUUAGGUUAGGGGCCUGGGAAUAGGGCUCCAAGUGUAAAUUCGUAGUUUCUUCUUUUUCUCUUUAGAGUACUACUUUCUAUGAGUUUGGGUUCAACUAAUCUUUAUUUUCUUCUUUUUUUUGUAUUCACCAGGUUUUCCAAAAUUUCCCUCCCCUAUUCUCCUUCAUUCAGGAAAGACCAGACAGUAGAAUGGCCAAAAGAGAAAGGACCAGAGGAGAAGUAGAACUUUGCAGGCCCCCUAGGAAAGAAAUACAGUUGAAACAGCAUAGCACCCUCCGGCCUCCAUCUCAGUCUUUAGAUUUGGAAGUGAGAGCAGGAGACAACCAUCACCCUGUCCCCCACAUGGGCCCCUAACACAACAGCCUGAAAAGUCACCCCAAGGGGAACAUCAGCACCUUUAGAGGUCUGACCUUUCAAUUAACACCUAUUAUCACUAGCCAUCCUGCCCAUACUCUUCUAUCACCUAAGAAGAUAAACACAGGCUUCAUUCUAGCAUGUGGUUAACCCGUAGUCCUUCUUCCACCUCUGACGCACACACACAAAAGAGGCCAUCUUGGAAGAGGCCCCUCCCUCUACCACAUUCUUAUUCUCAAUUUAGCCUGAAGCCAUCCAAAAGCCAAAGAUUACAGAAAUAAUACAUUGCCCCUUUCCUGAGAUGGGGGGUGGGGUGGACAUCCAGCCACAAUCUUGGUCAAAAAACAAACAAAAAAAUAACA